CGGAAAGACCCCGUGAACCUUUACUAUAGCUUGACACUGAACAUUGAGCCUUGAUGUGUAGGAUAGGUGGGAGGCUUUGAAGUGUGGACGCCAGUCUGCAUGGAGCCGACCUUGAAAUACCACCCUUUAAUGUUUGAUGUUCUAACGUGGACCCGUAAUCCGGGUUGCGGACAGUGUCUGGUGGGUAGUUUGACUGGGGCGGUCUCCUCCUAAAGAGUAACGGAGGAGCACGAAGGUUGGCUAAUCCUGGUCGGACAUCAGGAGGUUAGUGCAAUGGCAUAAGCCAGCUUGACUGCGAGCGUGACGGCGCGAGCAGGUGCGAAAGCAGGUCAUAGUGAUCCGGUGGUUCUGAAUGGAAGGGCCAUCGCUCAACGGAUAAAAGGUACUCCGGGGAUAACAGGCUGAUACCGCCCAAGAGUUCAUAUCGACGGCGGUGUUUGGCACCUCGAUGUCGGCUCAUCACAUCCUGGGGCUGAAGUAGGUCCCAAGGGUAUGGCUGUUCGCCAUUUAAAGUGGUACGCGAGCUGGGUUUAGAACGUCGUGAGACAGUUCGGUCCCUAUCUGCCGUGGGCGCUGGAGAACUGAGGGGGGCUGCUCCUAGUACGAGAGGACCGGAGUGGACGCAUCACUGGUGUUCGGGUUGUCAUGCCAAUGGCACUGCCCGGUAGCUAAAUGCGGAAGAGAUAAGUGCUGAAAGCAUCUAAGCACGAAACUUGCCCCGAGAUGAGUUCUCCCUGAGACUUAGAGUCUCCUGAAGGAACGUUGAAGACGACGACGUUGAUAGGCCGGGUGUGUAAGCGCAGCGAUGCGUUGAGCUAACCGGUACUAAUGAACCGUGAGGCUUAACCUU
rnacentral:rRNA from 1 species